UACGUAGGGGGCAAGCGUUGUCCGGAAUCAUUGGGCGUAAAGCGCGCGUAGGCGGUUCGGUAAGUCAGGUGUGAAAUCUCCACGCUCAACGUGGAGGCGCCACCUGAAACUGCCGUGACUCGAGUCCGGUAGGGGAGUGUGGAAUUCCUGGUGUAGCGGUGAAAUGCGUAGAUAUCGAGAGGAACACCUGCGGCGAAGGCGGGUUGCUGGGCUGACACUGACGCUGAACUGCGAAAGCUAGGGGAGCGAACGGG
rnacentral:rRNA from 1 species